rnacentral:lncRNA from 1 species
UCAAACCUGUAAGGUUGGUGCCGAUCGCUGAGCAAAGAGCAUGGUAAAAAAAGACCAAAACUAGGUGAGAAACCCCAAAUGACAUUUGGUAUAGCUAUAUAUAAUCUCUUUAUUCACAUUGUUACUACCCCAAAUGACAAGUAGCAGAUGAUGAUCGAUAAUUACGGACUAGCCGAGGAUGGCCAAUUCAUUUUCUAUGGUAGCCCCAAUGAAGAAAUCAAAAUUAGUAAUGCUACUUGCAAAUAUAGCCAUAGAAAUGUUUUAUUACAAUUUCAUGUUGCAGGCUGUGACAUACUGAGUGAUGCAGUUUCUAUUUUAACUUGUUUUUUGCAAGUUCUUGCUGAUACUUUCUAACACAACUGCAGGCAUAUGGAUACUAUAUUUGAACCAGAAGCUCGAGUUUUGAAGAAAUCCGAUAACGGGUAAAAACGAAGGAGAUUUUUCACUCCAUAUCUUACUCAUCUUGUUGCUGUAGAUUUUAGGCAACGAAUUGAUUUCAAGAGUACUUUGCCUUCAGCAUAACCAGCGGGUGAGAUGUUUAAUAGUAUGCUUUAGGACAUGAUAUUAAAGCGAUUGGUCCAGUAACAAAUUAUAUUCGGUAAAAUUAUCAUAGAAGUCCCUGUAUUAAAAGUUGGGUUAUAUUUUACCAUUUUUACUUAAAAAAUA